ensembl:snRNA U6 U6 spliceosomal RNA
GUGCUUGCUUCAGCAGCCUGUAUACUAAAAUUGAAACAAUACAGAGAUUAUCAUGGCCCCUGCUCAAGGAAGACAUGCAAAUUCAUGAAGCGUUGGGUACUUUU